UACGUAGGGUGCGAGCGUUAAUCGGAAUUACUGGGCGUAAAGCGGGCGCAGGCGGUUCGUUGUGUCGGCGGUGAAAGCCCCGGGCUCAACCUGGGAAUGGCCGUUGAAACUGGCGAACUGGAGUGUGGCAGAGGGGGGUGGAAUUCCGCGUGUAGCAGUGAAAUGCGUAGAGAUGCGGAGGAACACCGAUGGCGAAGGCAGCCCCCUGGGCUGACACUGACGCUCAGGCACGAAAGCGUGGGGAGCAAACAGG
rnacentral:rRNA from 1 species